rnacentral:rRNA from 1 species
UACAGAGGGUGCGAGCGUUAAUCGGAAUUACUGGGCGUAAAGCGUGCGUAGACGGUUAUUUAAGUCGGGUGUGAAAGCCCCGGGCUCAACCUGGGAAUUGCAUUCGAGACUGAAUAGCUAGGGUACGGAAGAGAGAAGUGGAAUUCUCGGAGUAGCGGUAAAAUGCGUAGAUCUCGAGAGGAACACCAAUGGCGAAGGCAGCUUCUUGGUCCAUACCUGACGUUGAAACACGAAAGCGUGGGGAGCAAACAGG